UACGUAGGGUGCAAGCGUUGUCCGGAAUUAUUGGGCGUAAAGAGCUCGUAGGCGGUUUGUCGCGUCGAAUGUGAAAACCCGGGGCUCAACCUCGGGUCUGCAGUCGAUACGGGCAAACUGGAGUACUGCAGGGGAGACUGGAAUUCCUGGUGUAGCGGUGAAAUGCGCAGAUAUCAGGAGGAACACCGGUGGCGAAGGCGGGUCUCUGGGCAGUAACUGACGCUGAGGAGCGAAAGCGUGGGGAGCGAACAGG
rnacentral:rRNA from 1 species